rnacentral:lncRNA from 1 species
AAAAAUGCUACAAGAUAGCAUCCAAAAAGCUUUUCUAGACAUUGGCUUAGGCCAAGUAGUCAUGACUAAUGCCCCAAAAGCAAACGCAAAAAUAUAAAAAUAGAAUAAGAUCAAUAGGACCUAAUGAAACCGAAAAUCUUCUGCAAGGCAGAAGAAAUAUCAGCAGGGUAAACACACAACCCACAGUAUAGGAAACAGUAGUCACAAACUAGGCAUCUGACAAAGGACUAAUGUCCAGACUCCAAAGGAACUGAAAGAAAUCAGCAAGAAGAAAAGGUGCCAUUUACCACCUUCCUGACUCAUUGGCCAGAACCAAUGUUAGUGGAAUUAACAUAUGCCCCACCCCAAGUGACUUCUAAAGGGCUAACUCACCACAAGGGAGUCAGAGCAGAUCUUGGACUGAGACCUACAGGACACAGGUACUGCUUUUUCUCUUUUAUUUGUUUUAAAUUUUAUUUAUGUUUUUAGAUCAAAUAGUUCAGAUUGCAUUGGUUUUUAAUCUGCUGUUGUUGGAUUAACAUAUGCUUUAAGCGACUCUUAAAUAGGUGGCUCACCAGGAGAAAGGCAUAGCAGAACCUGGACUGAGACCUACGGGAGACAGCAGGCAGACACACAGGAGGUUGGACGUCGAGAGGAGCACAUCAGUGCAAGAACACAUGGGUGGCUGCCACUUCUCUCCCUUUCCUGAGAGGGAAAAACUCUCGACGCUGAGAGGAAUCCACCAACAGGCACCAGCACUCUGGCAGGCCACCGACCAAUGGAUUGACAUAGAGUUUGGCUGGGGCAGCCAGAGGAGAGCCUGGGCCGCUGAAUAACCCGACUUCAGGGGAAAACUAUUCUCCCUUUUGGCUCCCCCAUCUGCUGAGAGCU